ACAGGUGCUGAUAGAGGAGCUCCACAGUCCUUUCUCCCGAGACUUUGGCGUGUGACAGCGCGUCUGAAACAACGCAGGAGGAUAGUGGCUCUCAGGAUCCUUACCCAUUGCAGACUAAGUCUGUGGACCGGGCUGCUCGGGAAAGCACAAAGUACCAGCAGGUAGCUCAAAGGCCAGAAGGAAAACCCGGCCAUCUGGAGGAAGCCGAGCUGGGAGGGAAACGAAACACCACCGGUCUUAAGAGAGCACAGGCCUUGAGCCCCGGGUGUUGUACGGAACUGAAGCUUCACUGAGUUCUGCACCUGAAACUAAUAUUACACUAUGAGGAAGAUCCAAUGAAGGACUCUGAGGGCCUAGACACGGUGGGGCCUCCAGACAGAAGCAGCCCAGGACACUGAGUGACCUCCUCAUAAACCCACACGGGACAAAACCACAAAAGAGCAAGAAAUAAGUAUUUUUGUUAUAUAUAGAUUUUUAAUGGUCUUAUAACUUUUUUUUGUUUUA